rnacentral:tRNA from 1 species
UGUGGUGAAGCUCAACGGCGAGCUAGGGAAUAGUUUUGCGGUGAAGAUUCUAGAUAACUAACCGCAGGAUGCGCGCAACCCAAUCGGCAGCGCACCGAUGGAAGCUGGUUCGACUCCAGCCACCACAACCA